rnacentral:piRNA from 1 species
UAUCACGGGUAACACAUAUUCGACAAUCUC